rnacentral:rRNA from 1 species
AACGAACGCUGGCGGCAUGCCUAACACAUGCAAGUCGAACGAGAUCCUUCGGGGUCUAGUGGCGCACGGGUGCGUAACGCGUGGGAAUCUGCCCUUAGGUUCGGAAUAACAGUUAGAAAUGACUGCUAAUACCGGAUGAUGACGCUAAGUCCAAAGAUUUAUCGCCUGAGGAUGAGCCCGCGUAGGAUUAGCUAGUUGGCGUGGUAAAGGCGCACCAAGGCGACGAUCCUUAGCUGGUCUGAGAGGAUGAUCAGCCACACUGGGACUGAGACACGGCCCAGACUCCUACGGGAGGCAGCAGUGGGGAAUAUUGGACAAUGGGCGCAAGCCUGAUCCAGCAAUGCCGCGUGAGUGAUGAAGGCCUUAGGGUUGUAAAGCUCUUUUACCCGGGAUGAUAAUGACAGUACCGGGAGAAUAAGCCCCGGCUAACUCCGUG